rnacentral:rRNA from 1 species
UACGGAGGGUGCGAGCGUUGUCCGGAAUCAGUACUGGGCGUAAAGGGCGCGUAGGCGGCGCCCCAAGUCGGAUGGUGAAAGGCCCGUGGCUCCAACUGCGGGUCGGCCACCGAUACUGGGGGGCUGGAGCACGGUAGAGGCAGGUGGAAUUCCGGGUGUAGCGGUGGAAUGCGUAGAGAUCCGGAAGAACACCGGUGGCGAAGGCGGCCUGC